AUAAUUUGGGGAACGAGUAGUUAUUAAUAAGGGUAAAAUAAGAAAAGAGAUUAUUUUCUGAAAACUUUGAGAUUAACCGAAGAAUCAUGAAAAAUAUAGUGAGAGAAUCUAGAGAGAAGGAGGAGCAGUUGAGAGAAGUCUUUGGAAGACAGAGAGUUUAUUAAUCAGAAAAGAGAGUAAAAUGAAAUCCGUAGCCAAAAUAUCUGAUAUAUGGCUAUAUAUACACCUAGCAUUGGGUCGGGUCAGACGGCCCAAUGACGAAAGUAAAAUGGGGCUCAGACACAUGUUGGGCUCAGACACAUGUGUAGCCCAAACAAUAAAACUUUCAUCAUAGCCCACUUCCACCUAUACAAUGUAUACCAGAGAAUACAAUAAAUAUAUAACGUAUAUACAGUGUAUACAAUCAUCUAAGCUCUUUCAUCUCAACACUCUUGCUUUAAUAUAAUAGGCAAAUAAAAGUGAAAAUAUAUUUUUAGUAUAGUGAACAUGUAAAAACGGACGAGGGAGAAUAUAUGUAUUAUAAAUAGUGACGGAAGUAAAAUGGGGCUCAGACACAUGUUGGGCUCAUACACAUGUGUAGCCCAAACAAUAAAACAUUCAUCAUAGCCCACUUCCACCUAUGCAAUGUAUACCAGAGAGUACAAUAAAUAUACAAUGUAUAUACAGUGUAUACAAUCAUGUAAGCUCUUUCAUCUCAACACCCCCUCAUUGCAUCCUGCCAUGCUGGGACAGAUGCAGCUUGAGAGUAAUACAUUGGUUCAGAUUCCAAAGUGGAAGAAGAGGAAUCAGAAAAGGCAGGCAGUUGACAGACAUAAUCCUUAAGAUAGGAAGGAGGAUUAUGCUGUCUGGUGGACUUUCUAGGUGUAGGAAGAUGAUGGGAUGGAGGUAACACAGGAGUAGGGAGAUCAGGAUUGAAAGAAGGAAGGGAAGAUGGACCAGCAUCAAAAAAAUCAGGUUCAGGAGAAUCAGUAGUAGAAGGAAGAACAGAAAAAUCAGGGGAAGUAAGUAUAGGAAAGUCUGUGGCAGUGAAAUCAUCAGCAGGAGGAAUAGAAGGAAAAAAUGAAGAAGAAGGGUGAGCAGAAGUAGGUUUAUUUUGAAAAGGGAAAUAAGUUUCAUGGAAGACAACAUCCCUUGAAACAAAACACUUCUUGGUAACCAU
rnacentral:lncRNA from 1 species